GUUUGAGAAUGAUCUGAGACAGUGCAUCUUUUACCAACUGGCAUUCUAUCAACUGUUCCAUUCUAGGAUACAGAUUCAGUAUACUCUGAAGUAAAUUUGUUACCAGGUUGGCACAUUUCUGGCUGAUACAAAUAUUCAGGUGGUGCUGAGAAAGGAUUGCACAGAAUAACACCUUUUGGAAGCAAAGACCCCGGCUUUGUAUUCACCUAGAGUUUAGCCAAAGAGUAAUAACAUUAAAUCAUUUUCAGCUUAUAACACGAAAUAUGAAACUUACAAAUUCU
rnacentral:sRNA from 1 species